rnacentral:rRNA from 1 species
AUGCGAUAAGUAAUGUGAAUUGCAGAAUCUCGUGAAUUAUCGAAUCUUUGAACGCACAUAGUGCCCUAUGGUAUUCCGUAGGGCAUGCCUGUCUGAGCAUCAGCUCCCCCACACCCAAGUCUCUUAAUUGAAGCUUGGAUCACUCUAAAGAAGUGGCUGAAAUACAAUAUGCUACUCUUUAGAAAUUCAUAGGGAGUAUGGCACCUGAACCAGACGUAUUAAGGAUAUAAAAGCGUCUCUCUUUUGGAAGGUUGUACUUGCCUCAACCCACCCAUUUUCUUCUGGGUGACCUCGGAUCAGGUAGGGAUACCUGCUGAACUUAA